GGUUGCCAUUUCCAACUCCAAGGGAUCUUCCCGACCCAGGGAUCGAACCAACGGCUCUUGUGUCUCCUGCCUUGGCAGGCAGACUCUUUACCACUGUUCUACCUGGGAAGCCCCUAACCUUUAUGAGCAUUUGUUACACGGCAGGCCCUGAUUAUUCCAUUGUCAACACCCACAAUGACUCUAAGGUAUAUCUUCGUCACCUUCGUCUUGUAGGUGAGGAAUGUGGAGCUCCAAAGGGCGCCUUAAUUGGUCAGGAUCGCGUAAUGAAUAAGAUGUUUUUAAGAUUCAAACCCAGGUUUCCUGGCUUUGGAGCCAGGGUCCUUCAUUAUUUCUAGCUUCUGCUUCCCAGCCCAUCUCUGCCGCUUCCCUCUGCUGGUUUGCAUCCUGGGAUUCCUGUGAAACCAGGAGAAUUUCUACCAGGUCCUUCGACUGGAUGAACUCUGGGGUUUUACGGAAGCAAAGUUGGAAAAAACAAGGCCUGCUGCCAAAUGCUCAAGCAUUUCUUCAGAUGUAGUCCAUUUGGAGCGCCCUUGAAUUUUAGCAAAAUGAAGAUACCACGCCACGGAGUGGGGUCCCCCGUGUUUAGAGGGACGAUGUGGACACCCUGAGUUCAUAAGACCUAGGAGCGUGUGGCCCCCCAGGCUGGCCCUGGGGAAAAUGAACUUCAUUGACAGAGGUCAGCCUCACGUCACAAGUGACCCAUUGGGCUGUGAUGCUGUGGAGACCUAGGAGGUGGGCCAGGUGUAUCCUCAGGGCUGGAAUGUAACCAACCAGACAGGUGACAGUACCAUCAGCUGAAGACUUAACCUGCCUGAGUGAUGUCUCAGCUGAGCCAAGCGUUCUGGCCGCAGGUCUGAUUCACAGAGAGUCUGGGCCAGUUUCUUCCCUAUGCUCCAAUUCUAGGCUCAUGGUUCAUCCUUCCGAGAAGACACUGGCUUCGGAUAGAGGCUUUUCUGCAGGGACAGAUACACCGACCAGCCAGCUCAAGGCUGUCAGUCGUGUUGAAAACCACAUUUCUCAUUCUGAGUUAAUAAGUGAUGUCUGCUUUUGACAGUGAUUUUGGACAGCUCGAGCCAGCCCCGCCAGUACCAGGCAUUCCUGGACUGUGGGUCAAAGGAUCCAGCACAGGGAAGACUGCAGUGUAAAAGACACGGUCUUGCUCUCUGGGGAUUUUGUCUGAGUUACUUCUCUGGCACAUGAAGGCAAGUGUCGCAGAGAACAAAAGCAGUGAGGUGGGAGGUGCAGGUGGAGAAGGUCUUGGCUUUCCCGCCAGCAGACGUCACCCUCAGAAUCGUUCUGAUGAUGAGCGGGCAGGAGACCAGGAUGAUCACGCCAUUGGCCGGGAAGGUGAGUUUGGCAGAAAAGAGGGUGACAGUCCCACAAGCUUUAGCAGGGGUGGGAGAAGGCAGGAGAGGUGGAUCUGAUUGUUGUCACAAAAGCGGAGGGUACAGGCGCACACGGCACGCAGGAUGGCCCUCGAUGACCCCCAGACACAGGCGUCAGGGACAUCGCCCCAUCCUAGCUCAGUGGAUCGCUAACAGCAACAAAGCUGCCAUAGGCCAUCCCAGUGAGCAGGCAGAGUGAAUGGACGGUGAAGCUGAUGGUAAAGUCGGUAAAGAAAGAGAACUGGGCUGCACAUCGGCCAUAGGAGAUGACCAUUUGGCUUGUGGUCAGCGUGGCCAGGAUCGGAAGGGUGAUGACCAAGACAUAGCAGGCAUCCAGCAGGGAAAGAAGGCCCAGGAAGAAGUCCGUGGGGUGCAGAGUUGGGUGUCCCUGGGGGUUAGAAUAAGCAUCUCCACAUUUCCCAGAAGGGCGACUAGAUAGAAACUGCGAAACAUCAGGAAGGGCUGAAUGGUC
ensembl:lncRNA